UCCAUCAUUCAGUUGGGCACUCUAGCGAGACUGCCGGUAAUAAACCGGAGGAAGGUGGGGAUGACGUCAAAUCAUCAUGCCCCUUAUGACCUGGGCUACACACGUGCUACAAUGGUUGGUACAACGAGUUGCGAGUCGGUGACGGCGAGCUAAUCUCUUAAAGCCAAUCUCAGUUCGGAUUGUAGGCUGCAACUCGCCUACAUGAAGUCGGAAUCGCUAGUAAUCGCGGAUCAGCACGCCGCGGUGAAUACGUUCCCGGGCCUU
rnacentral:rRNA from 1 species